rnacentral:rRNA from 1 species
GACGAACGCUGGCGGCGUGCUUUACACAUGCAAGUCGAACGGCAGCACGGGUGCUUGCACCUGGUGGCGAGUGGCGAACGGGUGAGUAAUACAUCGGAACGUACCUUAUCGUGGGGGAUAACGCAGCGAAAGCUGUGCUAAUACCGCAUACGCCCUGAGGGGGAAAGCGGGGGAUCGCAAGACCUCGCGCGAUUAGAGCGGCCGAUGCCUGAUUAGCUUGUUGGUGGGGUAAAAACCCACCAAGGCGACGAUCAGUAGCUGGUCUGAGAGGACGAUCAGCCACACUGGGACUGAGACACGGCCCAGACUCCUACGGGAGGCAGCAGUGGGGAAUUUUGGACAAUGGGGGCAACCCUGAUCCAGCAAUGCCGCGUGAGUGAAGAAGGCCUUCGGGUUGUAAAGCUCUUUUGUCAGGGAAGAAACACCGGCUCUAACACAGUCCGGGAAUGACGGUACCUGAAGAAUAAGCACCGGCUAACUACGUGCCAGCCGCCGCCGUAA